rnacentral:misc_RNA from 1 species
UACUAGUCAACCACUUCUUCAACCAGCAGAGACAAAAUGCAGGUUUUCGUAGUAGAAUCCUGUGGCCAUUCUGAACGAGCUCUCUCUCUCUCUCUUCUUCCCCAAAGAAAGAGAAAGCAAGAAGAAAUUAAUCCAGUGCCAUAUAUGUGUAAUAUCACAAUUUUUGAAACCCACAUGUUUUCUGGCAUCUGCUUAUCUUUCCCAGUCUUUAUUCUCUGUCUAUGUCUUUGUCCUUGUCCUCGGUUAUGCUUAGCAAGGGAUACCAUAUUGUUCAAUGCUCCACUUAAGGACCAAGAGACUCUUGUUUCUGCUGGAAAAAGAUUUAAGCUCGGAUUUUUUUCCCCUAAUGGAGGUGAUAAUAGCAGUAGAUACCUGGGGAUCUGGUAUUGGGGCUCAAACCCGAGUAUUGUAGUUUGGGUUGCUAACCGUGAAGUUCCAAUUCGGGAUUCAACUGGAGUUUUUUCCAUUGCAGAAGAUGGAAACAUCAACGUAUUGGAUGCAUAUAAUAAAUCUUACUGGUCCACUGAAAUUGGAUCAUCAGCGUCGUUUGUUUUCAACCGGACGUUGAAGCUCCUGGAUUCUGGGAACCUAGUCCUAAUUCAAGAAGGUGAUAACGGAAAAAUACUCUGGCAGAGCUUCGAGCAUCCAACUGAUACAUUUCUUCCUGGCAUGAGGAUGGAUAGGAAGUUGAAAUUGGUUUCUUGGAAAAGUCAAGUAGACCCUGCACCGGGGGACUUCACGUUUCAGCUAGAUCAAGAGAGACAAAAUCAGUACAUAAUCUUGAAUAGAUCUGUACCAUAUUGGAAAAGUGAAGUUUCAGAAAUGCUUGCCCGCACUGAUCAGAGGCUCCAGAUUAUUUCCUACUUGCUUACAAAUUUCAGCACGAGUAGCUUGUUAAGCAGUGAUACAUCUCCUUCACAAAAAACUCUGGCUCUCAAUGUGACCAACCGGGAUUACAAUAAUACAAGACUGGUAAUGAAUUUAAAUGGGACGAUACAAUUUUUUUGGCCAGGUAAUGAGACGGCCUCUUUGAAGUGGUGGGAACCAAGAGAUCAGUGUAGUGUAUUUAACGCCUGUGGGAAGUUUAGUAGCUGCAACAGUGAGAACAGCUUGCCCUGUAAAUGCUUGCCGGGAUUUAAGCCCAACAAACCGGAAAAUUGGUAUGCAGGGGAUUUUUCAUAUGGGUGUAAAAGAAUAUCGCCAAUAUGCAGCAAGUAUGCCAAGGAGAUUGGCGACUUCCUUAAUCUGAAGAAGAUGAAAGUGGGAAACCCAGACGGGGUAUAUGAGAAUUUGAAUGAAACUGCAUGCAAGGACAAGUGCCUCAGCAAUUGCACAUGCCAGGCAUAUUCUUAUCUUAAAGCUGAAAGGAGUGAUGCCAGUAACGCUAUAUGUUGGAUUUGGAUACAAGACCUUAACAAUAUUCAGGAGAAUUAUGAAAGGGGUCGAGACCUCAAUUACCGCGUCCUGCUUUCUGAUAUAGAUCAUAUGAAAAGAAGUUGUAAAACUUGUGGCAUCCACAUCAUCCCUUACCCACUCAGCACUGGACGAAAUUGUGGUGAUCCACGGUACAGCUAUUUCAGGUGUGAAAAUGAGACUGGUCAAUUGAGCUUUUUAACAAAUGACUUUAGCAGCUAUCCAGUAACUGGCAUCAACAGAGACUCGCGUACAUUUUCCAUCCAAAUUGAAGAAGCAGAUUGUCCAUCUGUUGGUUCAAAUCUGCAGCUUCCCUGGCAAUUUAACAUAACUAGUGAAUGCAAUGCUUAUCAAAGUAACUAUAGUUUAGAUCUAUUUAAACGCGAAGGGUUAAAAAAAGAAUUAGAAAUAAAAUGGAAGCCUCCAUUAGCACCAGCUUGUGAUAAACCUGAUGACUGCAUUGACUGGCCAAAUUCAACUUGUUCUGGCCAGAAUGAGGCGAAGUCAUGCACUUGCGAAGAAUCCUUUCAAUGGGAUUCGAAGGAAGUAAAUUGUACUUCAGAUCCAUCUCAAGGAUCUAACAAACAGAGACCAGAAUCAAAAAACAAAAGCAAGAAACGGAUACCAUUUUAUCAAGUCUUGUUGGGAGUUAUUGCAACUGUUACAAUAAUCUCAUAUGCAGCAUUCUAUUUGUAUUACAUGAGAAGACGAAGAAGACGGGUCACUGUACAAGAUAACAGAGAAAGAGCCCUGGAAACUGUAGCAAUUUGUUUGUAUGACAGUCAAAGACAAGUCAAAGACUUCAUAGAUUCGAGUCGAUUUAGGGAAGAUGACAAGAAAGGCCUGGAUGUACCAUUUGUUGAUUUGGAAAGCAUAUUAGCUGCUACAGAUAACUUCUCAGAUGCAAACAAGCUAGGAAAAGGUGGUUUUGGGCCUGUUUACAAGGUAAAUUAUUCUCUCUGCAAUUAUUUUUGAAAGAAAACAGAUUUGGGUACAUUCAUGAUGGGUCAACUCAGACCCAGGGCUUUUUUUUUCCAAUUUAUUGUACAAAAAAAAUGAAAACUUAUUUCCCAAAUCAGAGUAAAAUUGUACACAUGGACAAAGUCUUGGGGAGAACUGACACUCAAAUGGGCAAGUUGUGCAUUGUGGCGUGCAGUGGCCGCACAACUUGCACAUUGUGGCGUGCAGUGGCCGCACAACUUGCACAUUGGAAAAUUUUGGCUAGGUUUUGUCCAGGAGAGCUUGGGAGCAAGGCAGUGUUUUUGGUGCUUUAACUUGGCAGAAAUGCUAGCAUUUCGUAGUCACUUUUUCAGUUUAAAGGAAGUGAUAUAGGGUGCUUCAAAAUUAUUCAGGCAAAGCCACAUAACUAUUUCUCAUUUUAAUUCUUGGAGUAAAACUGAAUUACAGGUACAUUUAAACCAUGCCAAUAUAAAUAUAGUUCAUUAAAUAAUGUGAUCAUAUUUUGGAUUGGUGAUUUAAGAGUUUGCAUGUCCAUAGAUUAGAACUCAUGGUUUUAUAUUCCUAACAUCAUCCUUUUUUUAAUUUCUUUUGUUGCUGUGAAGUAAUAUCAUCAAUUUGGUCAAAAGACAAACUAUAUUCAUAUGGAGAUUUAGGAUUCCCAAAGGAGGAAUAUAAGUUCCUUACAGUUUGAUUAUAGUGUAUGAAUCUAAUUAGCAAGAUUGGGAGCAAACCAAUUGCCAAUUAGGAAAACCUUUAGGGUUUCAAGUAACUUGAUAUUGAUUUUACAAUCUGUGCAUGGAACUAUGUCAAGGGAAAGUUUCAAGGAGGACAAGAAAUUGCUAUAAAGCGACUAUCCAGUGGUUCAGGACAAGGUUUGGAGGAAUUCAAGAAUGAAGUUAUAUUGAUUGCCAAGCUUCAACAUCGGAAUCUUGUUAGACUUCUGGGCUAUUGUGUUGAAGGACAUGAAAGGAUGCUACUUUAUGAAUACAUGCCUAACAAGAGCCUAGAUUCCUUCAUAUUUGACGAAACGAAAUGUGCACUGUUAAAUUGGGAGCUGCGCUUUACCAUUAUCAUGGGAAUUGCUCGAGGACUACUUUAUCUUCACCAUGAUUCCAGAUUGAGGAUCAUACACAGAGAUCUGAAGACAAGUAAUGUCCUUUUAGAUGAGGAGAUGAACCCCAAAA